rnacentral:rRNA from 1 species
CCUACGGGAGGCAGCAGUGGGGGAUAUUGCACAAUGGGGGGAACCCUGAUGCAGCGACGCCGCGUGGGUGAAGAAGCGCCUCGGCGCGUAAAGCCCUGUCAGCAGGGAAGAAAAUGACGGUACCUGAAGAAGAAGCCCCGGCUAACUACGUGCCAGCAGCCGCGGGAAUGCGUAGGGGGCAAGCGUUAUCCGGAUUUACUGGGUGUAAAGGGGGCGCAGACGGCGAUGCAAGCCAGGAGUGAAAGCCCGGGGCCCAACCCCGGGACUGCUCUUGGAACUGCGUGGCUGGAGUGCAGGAGGGGCAGGCGGAAUGCCUGGUGUAGCGGUGAAAUGCGUAGAUAUCAGGAGGAACACCGGUGGCGAAGGCGGCCUGCUGGACUGCAACUGACGUUGAGGCCCGAAAGCGUGGGGAGCAAACAGGAUUAGAUACCCCUGUAGUC